GAUGAACGCUGGCGGCGUGCCUAAUACAUGCAAGUCGAGCGAACGGACGAGAAGCUUGCUUCUCUGAUGUUAGCGGCGGACGGGUGAGUAACACGUGGAUAACCUACCUAUAAGACUGGGAUAACUUCGGGAAACCGGAGCUAAUACCGGAUAAUAUUUUGAACCGCAUGGUUCAAAAGUGAAAGACGGUCUUGCUGUCACUUAUAGAUGGAUCCGCGCUGCAUUAGCUAGUUGGUAAGGUAACGGCUUACCAAGGCAACGAUGCAUAGCCGACCUGAGAGGGGGUUCGCCCAACUGGAACUGAGACACGGUCCAGACUCCUAAGGGGGGCAGCAGUAGGGAAACUUCCGCAAUGGGCGGAAGCCUGACGGAACAACGCCGCGUGAGUGAUGAAGGGCUUCGGAUCGUAAAACUCUUGUAUUAGGGAAGAACAUAUGUGUAAGUAACUGUGCACAACUUGACGGUACCUAAUCAGAAAGCCACGGCUAACUACGUG
rnacentral:rRNA from 1 species